rnacentral:lncRNA from 1 species
GCUGUUUUAUCUGCGGUUGUUUAGCUGACACAACCUUUAUAAAAAGUCUCAUUUCUCUUACAUUCUCUCAUCUGCAUAAGGAUCCUGUUAAUAUAACGGUUCAAAAUGAGUCUGUGAAACACAUCCGACAGAGGUAUCUCAGAGGUAUUAAUUGGGCAGCCCAGCAAUACGCCACCUCGCUGCGCAGCUGUUUGGUCCCUGCAGCUAACAAGCUCCUUAUUCUACUGCUAAGAGAGCCAGUAACAACUGCAAUAUCCACACACAACAAACAUGGCAUUCUUAUUAGAGUCCGGAAUGUUUCUUUGGUAGACAGUAACUAUCCAUUUUCUUGCUUCCCCCGCCUCAGGUGUUUUUCCAGGUUGAGAGUCUUAGCUUUCUAAGUCAGGUUGUUGACCAGUGGUUACUGAAGUCUUAAUAUCUGUGUACAAGACUAGACUGAGGAAGUAUUUAUUUCCCAUGGGUCUGGAUAUGGAAAUAUUCUUGUCUAUGUAUGUAUCUGGUGCAAAAGACUAAUGAUUACAUUAUAGUGUGCAUUCUUGUGAAUAUCUGGUGAUAUAUCAAUUGUUAUAUCCUAACAUGAGCUCUACCUCUCUAAAUAAUGUGUAAGUUGCUUAUCUUUGAGGGUUAAUAAAUUAUUGCACCAUUUUGCCUUUCUUCCCA